rfam:Pan troglodytes isolate Yerkes chimp pedigree #C0471 (Clint) chromosome 10, whole genome shotgun sequence.
GCCAGGUGUGGUUGUGCGCGCCUGUAGUCCCAGCUACUUGGGAGGCUGAGGCAGGAGAAUCACUUGAACCCAGGAGGUGGAGGUUACAGUGACCUGAGAUUUGCACCACUGCACUCCAGCCUGGGUGACAGAGUGAGACUCUGUCUCAA